AUUGAACGCUGGCGGCAUGCCUUACACAUGCAAGUCGAACGGCAGCAUGAUCUAGCUUGCUAGAUUGAUGGCGAGUGGCGAACGGGUGAGUAAUACAUCGGAACGUGCCCUGUAGUGGGGGAUAACUAGUCGAAAGAUUAGCUAAUACCGCAUACGACCUGAGGGUGAAAGUGGGGGACCGCAAGGCCUCAUGCUAUAGGAACGGCCGAUGUCUGAUUAGCUAGUUGGUGAGGUAAAGGCUCACCAAGGCGACGAUCAGUAGCUGGUCUGAGAGGACGAUCAGCCACACUGGGACUGAGACACGGCCCAGACUCCUACGGGAGGCAGCAGUGGGGAAUUUUGGACAAUGGGCGAAAGCCUGAUCCAGCAAUGCCGCGUGUAUGAAGAAGGCCUUCGGGUUGUAAAGCACUUUUGUCCGGAAAGAAAUGGCUCUGGUUAAUACCUGGGGUCGAUGACGGUACCGGAAGAAUAAGGACCGGCUAACUACGUG
rnacentral:rRNA from 1 species